rnacentral:lncRNA from 1 species
AGUUAAUGUAAAAGAAAGUUAUUUAAGUGAAAUUAAGGCAACGAAGAGAAAUAUGAAAAUAUAUUUCCUGACUCAAUACUAAGCAGAGACCUUUGAUUUGCUCAUGGGGUGCCUGAGUAGAGGGUCUAAAUGCAAAUUAUUGUAAUCAAUACCGGGAUGGGUUCACUUUUUUAACAGUUUCUUUUGCAUCUUUGGUUUUAUAUAAUGAUUUAUUAUAAAGGUCAGUUAUUAAAUGACUUUGAAGUAACUGGCCUUGUGCCCUAUGGAUCCAAGGGCACAGAAUGCAGUUCUGUUUUGAAGAGCUGUUUUAAAGGACAUGCAUCAUUUUCAGGUUUUAAAACAACUGUACACAUACAUAUUUGCAAUGUCUUCACUGAAAUUUAGGGAUAGAAUUAGUUGAAGAGAUUUAAUUGCUACAUUGAGUUUUACUACAAUGAGCAUUAUCGAAAAUAAACGGUUAGACUAAUGAUUAGCUCACUGUUCUGUUCUUAAAAAGAUUGAAGUCUGUUGGAUGGAAUGGAUGGAGAUCAUAGCAACUCAAAACACAGCCCAGAGUGAGACACCGAAGGUCAGCUUCCCCAUCUUCCUUCCUCCAGUAGGUAAUUAUCCAGAGACUAAUUGCCUCAGAGAUAGUGAGCCUCACCCCAAGUUGCUAAGGAACAGUUAACAGCACUAGAAGUAAGUAGGCAUGUUAAGGUUAAAAUUAGCAUUUGGGGGACAGAAUUGUAUCUGUAAAAAUGUCCUUGGUCUUUAUUACAAAUGGGUCAUUUGGUCUAGGCUGUUUCAAAAUGCUUUGCCACACUGAUUAUCCUCCUUGAAAUGAUCACCCGUGACCACACUAAUGUCCAGUUUUUAAAAGAAAGAUAAUCAGAGAGCUGUAGGAAUUUCCCAUUGUUUCUCUAUCACUUUCUAAAAGUUCCCCGGUUUUUGCCGUCGCAGUAAAGUUUGCGUGGUUGGCACUUGUUCCAUCCUUACUCUCUGAAAGACGGACGCCGUCUGCUUUGUUUCGCAGCUUGCUCAGACUAGUCACUGUGCUGAGAGAGCCGGAACAGCUUCCGACCAUGGGAUGAUUUUUAUAAAAUCUGUCUGAAAAAUAGUAAAUAGAACCUGCCAUGUCAUAACAUGUAAUAGAUUUUUUCCAAGGGGUUGGUUGAUAGAAAUAUCUAGAUGUACCCCACCAGUAGCCAGUGUUUUAAUUUGCUUAAUGGAAAUCAAGUGAAUGGUAACAUAAUUAAAAGAACUCUAUUCUGAUAUCUAAAUAAAAACAAUGUAUUUGAGUGGUUGAAGACAUUUGCAUGAAAUUGCACCUUGUACGGUACUUGAUAUUUAUAACUCUUCCCCCAAACUGUUGUAUUUCAUUUCUUCCAUUUUCUCGACACCCUCUUUGAGAUGUCCUGAAGUCUCUCAGCUAUGGGACUUUUUUUCAUAAUAUUAAUGUAAAGAUGUUUGUGUUACUGUUUAUAAAUUACAAUUGUAAAUAAACUGAUACAAGUUUGC